rnacentral:lncRNA from 1 species
AAAAAUCUGUGCAGCUCUUUACUUUCUACUUAUAUAUUCAUUUGUGUUUGUAUAAAGGAUGAAGCUUAAUGAGGUCUAUGUGGUCACAGAGGGAUAAAACACUGCGAGAUCAGAUGUGGCCCUGUGUUGUGUGUGAGAGCAGGACCUUUGAGCUUUCCAAUUUGUGGAAAUGUAGAAUUUGUUUCCAUGGUAACUUUUAGGCUUCAAGACUUAUGGGAAAAAGACUGCUUUUCCAGCAGUAAAGAUCUGUAUAAGGUUCUGCUCUGCUGCCCUUGCUUAGAAACACUAUGAUC